AGGACGAACGCUGGCGGCGUGCUUAACACAUGCAAGUCGAGCGAGGCCCCGUCUUCGGGUGGGUGUCCUAGCGGCGAACGGGUGAGUAACACGUGGGCAACCUGCCCCCGGCUCUGGGAUAACUCCAAGAAAUUGGGGCUAAUACCGGAUAUGACUGCUGACCGCAUGGUCUGGUGGUGGAAAGAUUUAUCGGCUGGGGAUGGGCCCGCGGCCUAUCAGCUUGGUUGGUGGGGUAGUGGCCUACCGAAGGCGACGA
rnacentral:rRNA from 1 species